rnacentral:rRNA from 1 species
AGUGAACGCUGGCGGUAGGCCUAACACAUGCAAGUCGAACGGCAGCACAGUAAGAGCUUGCUCUUACGGGUGGCGAGUGGCGGACGGGUGAGGAAUACAUCGGAAUCUACUUUUUCGUGGGGGAUAACGUAGGGAAACUUACGCUAAUACCGCAUACGACCUACGGGUGAAAGCAGUGGAUCUUCGGACCUUGCGCGAUUGAAUGAGCCGAUGUCGGAUUAGCUAGUGGGCGGGGUAAAGGCCCACCAAGGCGACGAUCCGUAGCUGGUCUGAGAGGAUGAUCAGCCACACUGGAACUGAGACACGGUCCAGACUCCUACGGGAGGCAGCAGUGGGGAAUAUUGGGCAAUGGGCGCAAGCCUGAUCCAGCCAUACCGCGUGGGUGAAGAAGGCCUUCGGGUUGUAAAGCCCUUUUGUUGGGAAAGAAAAGCAGCAGGUUAAUACCCCGCUGUUCUGACGGUACCCAAAGAAUAAGCACCGGCUAACUUCGUG